CGGGGAGGCUGCAGGGCUGGCGAGAGGGCAGAUGGAGGGAAGCUGCUUUUAUGGUAUUUCUGCUGAAAGGCACAGGUGCGGUGGAGGAAGCAGGCUAAGGAUUGGUUCGUGUGAAUGUCUUCAGUGAGCUCCAGUUAUCUGGUACCUGGCCUGGGUGAUUAGGGUAGAUAGACAGAGGCCCAGAAGGUGAGAGCCUGAUUCCUGGAGUGGUCAGUGGGGUGGGUGGGCUCAGGGCUGGUUGCUUUGGGAAGCGUGCAUGUGGGCCAGUUGGUUACUGUCUCAAGGAGUGGGCUAGGCCUGGGUGUGGCAGUCCUUCUAGGGUCAGCAAGGCACCAAAUAUCAAAGCACUAGAAUACACAAAGUAAAAGACUGCGUUAAUACAGGGUAGUUUACAAAGAAACGGGAAAUUGUUGGCUCGGAGCUGGGUGGAGAUUGAAAUGGUGUUCCCUGGAGAUCCAUUUAAAGUCUCUGUAAAUAUGCGUUAGUGUGUAACUGCUCCUUGUCUCUAAGCUCAGCCAGCCUCUCCCAUGCCAGCUGAGGGGCCUCCCCACCUUCCUUUUCCUCUCUGGGUGUCCCUCCAUUAUGAUUUGGGGACCAAGGCUGGCUGUAGCAGUGUGUCUCCGUGGGCUAGGGCGGUUGGCAAAGGCAAUUGCUUCGGUAGUGCUGGAUAAAGUGGGAUGACGUGGUGACCACACGGAAUGUCAUUUCCGAUGAAAGCUGGCGUGCCAGCCCGUGACAGGACGUGGAGGAGCGUGGAUUCCCCUUCCUGGUUGACUUCAGCCAAGGCCAUCAUCCCAGCUGUCAAAGCCUGCCCUGAUUGCCUGUCCUGGGGGAGAAGAGUGUUUUGAAGAUGACAAGUCAAAGUCAGGUCCUGCAUGGAGUCUGCGUGCCUGACAGCCCGGCUGGCACAGGAGGACAUGCAGCCUGGUGGGACUGAAUCGACCUUCAGAUCUCAGCGAUGAGUCCUCUAGACUGCAGGUUCCACAGCAGUUGCAGCUCCCAUGGCUUUAGAUUGGAGCUGCCUGUGACAUGCAGAGAUGGAAGCACAGCGUCAGCUGUGGUGAACGGCAGCCUCUUUCAGCCCCCAGUGUCUCUCAUGGAAACCCAAGGUGGGAGAAAGAAGCAGAAAGAAAUCCUGGAACCAAAAAGCACUUCAGCAAUGAAGACUGGAUUUUCUCUGAUUAUGAACAGCAAAAUAAAAU
rnacentral:lncRNA from 1 species